rnacentral:rRNA from 1 species
UACGGAGGGUGCGAGCGUUGUUCGGAAUUACUGGGCGUAAAGCGCACGUAGGCGGGCGUGUAUGUCAGAUGUGAAAGCCCCGGGCUUAACCCGGGAAUUGCAUUUGAAACUGCAUGUCUUGAAUGCCUGAGAGGGUGACGGAAUUCCUGGUGUAGAAGUGAAAUUCGUAGAUAUCAGGAGGAACACCGGAGGCGAAGGCGGUUGCCUGGAGGUGCAUUGACGCUGAGGUGCGAAAGCGUGGGGAGCAAACAGG